rnacentral:rRNA from 1 species
UACGAAGGGGGCUAGCGUUGUUCGGAUUUACUGGGCGUAAAGCGCGUGUAGGCGGGUCGUUAAGUUGGGGGUGAAAUCCCGAGGCUCAACCUCGGAACUGCCUUCAAAACUGGCGACCUGGACUCAAGUAGAGGCAAGUGGAAUUGCGAGUGUAGAGGUGAAAUUCGUAGAUAUUCGCAGGAACACCAGUGGCGAAGGCGACUUCCUGGCCUGUUCUUGACGCUGAGGCGCGAAAGCUAGGGGAGCAAACGGG